AGAGAGACGAGUCUCAGCUUGAAAAUAUUGAAUAUUAUUUAGAGAUGGAUCUCAAUCCUAAAAUUUCAAAAGCACAAGUUCCAUAUGUGAUUCUGUUUUUUACAAACAAGCUCAAUGCAAAAAAGUUCAAAACUUAACACACCUUAUUUUAGUGACAGAGUUCAAAACAAAAGGAAUAGGAAACACUCUUAUUUUACAACCCAAGAAACACCAAUCUCAAACACACAAAAAUGACAUCACAACAAAACAACGACAAGAGUAAUAUCUAAGGUUAAAGCACAGUGAUUGGACUGGUUACUGUGUGCUUGCCAUCUGUCCAAGAUAAAUUCCCAAAUAAGGGUAACCCAUGUGGCACUCCAUUUGCCUGCAGAGUAACAUGAAACGUCUGCUUUUCUCCGGUUUUCUUAAAAGUCAAGGAACUUGGUUCAACAACAAUCUUAAUCCCUUUGGGUGGAUUAGUACUCACAUUAUAUUUGCCUGGAGGCCCAACGUUUGUAACAGUGCGAGUAACAUGCUUAGGCUUUGAAGUGGGAUGAUGUAUUGUAAUUGAAGGGUAGUUAAGAUCUUCAAUUUUGAAAGACUUUGGACAUUUGUAAGGGACUUCCAAAUUGGCAAAAAACUUGAGAAGGGCUUGAUUGUAACCAGAAGCACAUAAGAAGUUCAAGUAAUCAGUUGUGUUUAGAUCAUAAACGAGUCCAGGGUCUAUUGCAAGGUUAGGUUGAACGUGUCCGGCACCGUAUUCAAAUGGAGUUGCUACCUUAUCAAAUGCAUUCUGAAUUGGUUUCUUCGUGUUAUCUAAAGUUGUAGCUGAAAUCAAUCAAGAGCAUGGUUGUCAAUAAGGCACCAAUUCUUUUCCAGAUAACAUUUUGUAUUUUGUAAAUGCGAGAAAACAUUUUGUUAAGAAUGCAUGGUGUACCUGUAGUCAUAAUAGCAGAUUUGAUGGCUGCGGGACUCCAGGUUGGAUGGUAGGUUUUGAGAAGACCCGCAAUGCCAGCAACAUGAGGACAGGCCAUAGAAGUUCCUUGUUGCACAUUGAAAAGAGUCCUACGUGUAUCUGAUGCAAGAUUAGAAGGACCCGCGGCUUGUGAAAAGGCAGCAAUUAUACCCACACCCGGACCAGUUAUGUCAGGCUGAAACACAUUAACAAACAAAUUACCUUACAAAUCAAAAAUCACGCAUCUUCCCAUGUUUUUAUAACAAAAUGUAAAGAUAUAUUGUAGACCUUUAGUAUCAACGGUUGCACCAGACUAGGACCCCUAGAUGAGAAUCCAGCCAUGAUUGGAGCUGGCUUUACAUUUAGAUGUGUUUUUGCAGCACUCAAGUAGGCAAAUAUCCUGCAACAUAUUUAUAAAUUCAUGGAAUGCUUCACUAUAUACACACAGAAUUAAUACGAGGUAAUAAUAUAUGACUUUACCCGCCACCGCCGCUUGUACCGGCGGCUGUACGAUUGGCAUAAUCAGUAUCUGUUCCACUUAUACUUCCAGCAGGUAAAACUUGAUUUUCGGCCAGAAGUAAAUUUCCACUUUCCUUAUCAUUCUGCACCAAAACUGCCACAGCACCGGCAAGUUUACCCUGUUCACCCUCUUUAACAGAUUGUAAUUUAUCACUUCGAAGACAGACAAGUAUUUUCCCUUUUACUUUGGUAGGAUCAAGAGUUCCCGGUUUGCAAACACGCCUGCACCAACAUACACAUGUGAGGCAACAAGUAUAAGUGUUUGAAGCAAUGCUGGGAAAUAAAAAUAGAGCUUACGCGUCAUCAGCGGAGGCAUUACGAAGCUUUGCUUUGACAGAAAAUAUGAUGGGAUAAAACUUUCGCUCAUUUCGUCGAAAGCCUCGAUUAAGACUGGCAACCUGAUAGAAGUGCAGUGAAAUUAUUAAGUGAAUAAAACAAAAGUACAAAUGCAUGUUGAGAAUAGGAUAGAAAGAUGAUACCUCAACUUUUUUGUCCUUGCCAAGAGAAAGGGUGCUGAGGAAAUCCCUAUCCAUGGUGCUGGCAGCAACGGUGAAGGACCAGGGUGCGACGUUUGUGACAGUUGAAGGUGAGGGGCCAUCAUUUCCAGCAGAGCAAACAACGACAAUAUUUUUUUGGACUGCAUGGAAUGAUCCUAUAGAAAUACCAUCCGUUAACAGAGCUUCCCUGUAGGGAUUGGACCAACCAAUAGAGGCGGAGAUGACAUCAACGCCAUCAUAAAUUGCAUGAUCAAAAGCUGCCAGUAAAUCUGCUUCGUGGCACCCUCCUGUGUCCAGUUUAUUCCAACAUGCUUUGUAGGCCACAAGGCGAGCUUUUGGGGACCCUCCCUUAGCAGUGCCUUUGCCAUUACGUUCUACAUUCGCACCAGGAACAAAUCUACCACCUGCAGUUGAUAAAGUGUGGCUCCCAUGCCCUACGAAGUCACGUGCACUGCGGAACGCGCUCUCAAUCUUCCCAACUUCCGCCUCGCGAUUCUUCAAGAAUAUUCUUGCUCCGAUCAACUUCCUGAAUCUUCUACUAUGUUAGCUUCUACCACGUUUCCCAUACGACGACACCGUUUUUCAAUGAUAAACAUUGCAGCAAUAAUAUACUAAUAUAUGGGUAAAGUAAUCUUUCGCUUUACGAUGAUUGAAAUAAGAAAGAAAAAUGACCUGUUACAAAAAUGUUUUUGUGUAGUGUUAUAACUGUCAAUUUCACAAACACCUUUCCCGCGCCACUUUUCAGGUACUGCCCGGUAUCCUUUGUCGUUAAAGCUUGGGUGUUCUGGCCAAACUCCUGCUCAACAGUAAGUGAAUUAGCAUAAAAAUGUAUAGAAUAAUGGAUCUCUAUAUAUCACUACAUAUAGAUACAAAUUCAAAUUUCUAUUAGAAAAUAUAUUUUUAAAUUCAAUAUUUAUAAAGAUUUUAAGAUUUUAUAUUGAAAGUAUACUUAUGACUCCUCUCUGAUGAAAGAUCCAACAUUUAUCCAACAUUACAAAUAUUAAUAUGAAUUUAUUUAAUUGGAGAGGAUCGCGAGAUAAUUAUUUUAGCAUUUUCUAGUUAUCCUAUAAUUUUAUUCGUAUGCAAACAUUUUGUUUUCCAUUUUUAAUUCAGUUUUAGAAAAAGAAAUGAUAUUGAACAACGAUGCUAACAAUGCAGCACCAAGAGUGGAAUUGAAGUAUUUAAAAAAUUAUUUAAUACAAUUAUAAGACAUGGUCAACUGUUAAAGAAUUUGAUUAAAUGAUGUUUUAAUUUCAAAAUAAUGAUGAUUAAAUUAAGAAUAGUUUGGAGAUUUCUUUUAUAGUUAAUAAAAUAGUGUUACUCGGAAGCUUUUGACUAAAAGAAAUUAAGUUAACAUACAUCUAAAAUAUAAUUAGUUUUGUUGAAUAAUUGGUUAAAUGAGUAUUAUUUUAAAAAUUAUUGUCUCUAAGCCAAGAAGAAUAAUAGCCCUUAAUUAUAGGCAUAAUUUUAUUAAUUAUUAUAUUAAAGUUGACUUGAAAAAGAUUUAAAAUAUAUUAUAACAAAGGAAAAUAAUAUUUUCACACCAAUUUUUUGACACCAUUUUGACACUGCACACGUGUUAAAAUGUGGUUGGAUAAUUUCAAAUUAAAAAAAAAAAUGGUUUUUUUCUUCCAAAUAUACUCUUGUCUCAGUUUUAUUAAUUUGAAAUCGUCCAACCACGUUUUGACAUCUGUGCAGUGUCAAAAUAGUGUCAAAAAUUGAUGUUAAAAUAUCAUUUUCUUGUAACAAAAUGUGACUACUGUGAAUUUGAUUAAAUAAAUAUUUCAAUUUAAAAAUGUCACAUGAUAUAAAAAUACCACUUAAGAGUAUAGAAGGGGUCUGUGUAUACCAAGUGGUGCAGGUCUCUCGUAUCUCAAACUUCCAUGGGUGAUCAUCACCAUAAGUUUUAAAUAAAGAGCAAGCAAACCUGUAUCAAUGUUGGCUAUGAUUGUGUUUUCCCCAUAUCUUGCUUUUCUCCAAGCAGAGUUUUCAGCAACUUUUCCAUUCUUUUCCAGUCCCAGAAAAUCCCAUGACCUCGUAGUGUGCAAUUUGUGCUCUUUGCUCAAGAAAACAGAAACUACCUCUGGGUACUCUGUUUCACACCAAAAUUGUGUGGCUUCGAUAUAUGCACAAAAUAAGGGACAUGCUAAUAAUCACACAAACAAUAUCUGCUUACCUGCAAUUUCUGCUGCUUCUUCCUCUUCAAGCAAGGCCGCGAAGCCAUUGAUAUGCUUGUUGUAAGAGUACAUUAUUGCUUCCUUUGCGUCCUCAUGACUGUUAAAGUAACAGACUUUAAUAAAUGCCAAUGUCAGGAUAACAUUAAUUUAACAGAACAAAUGUGUUAGUUGUAUUACCUUCCUAAGACAGAAGCGAGUAAUUCAUGAUGGGAAUUUGUUGCUGUUUCAAGAUCAGUGGGAGAAGGCUCUGGACCAUGAGAGUGCCCUCCCAAGUACACAAUGUACGUCUGAAAACAGAGCACCCAUGAUUAAAUUUCUGUGUUACAUCUGUUCAAUAAAUUAACAGUGAAAACAUGAAAUGCAAUGCAGAGGUUACUUGCCUUUCUAAGGGCAUUGGCGGGUUCCUGCAAGAAAGUGCAGAGAAGGAAUGAUGACAGAAGAAGUUUGAAGACGGAGAAUGUCAUCACUCUCAUGUAACUUCAACUCUUUGUUUUGGUGUGCUCUGUUCCACUCCUCUGCCUCUGCUUAUAUUGGGAAAAAAAGUAUCAACUAUUUACCCUGUUUUUUCCUUUCUAUCAUACUUCAAUUUCACUUUUUUUAUCUUUCCCAUUUUGUUUAUCAUGGUAUCAUUCAAUAAAUUAUUAUAUAAAUUAUUUUUCCAUUUUUUCUUAUUCUUUUCACUUCAUUGUACUUCCAAAAAAAAAAAAUUCAUUGCACACUCAUCAGUAUUUCCUUUGUACUUUAUUCUAUAUAAAUCCGCUUUCCUUUUAUUGGUGUAUGAUUAUGACAUGAGAAUGAUUGAUGUACGAAAGGUACAUAUACUUAGCAACUGAUAAAUAGAUGCUCAUAAAAAAAAAAAAAAGAGUAGUGUAUAUAAAGAUGGAUAUUAUUUAUAAUUUAAGUCUGUAUUUUUCUUAUAUUUGAGAUAUUUUAUCUUCAUGUAAUAUUUGUAGUCUUAUCAAUAUAAAAAAUAUAUUUGAUAAAUUUAAGCAAAAGUAUCUUCAAAUGUAAGUACAGUUCAAUGAAUGAUUAAAUAUAAAUUAUAGUUCAAUUAAAACAAUUAUUUACAUCAACAUGCAUGGAAUAUGUUGUAAAGAAAAUAAGAUAUUAAACUUAACGAAACCUAAUAAUUAUAUGAAACGAAUAAGAUAUGAAAACCUAAUUUUAUAUUUCUUUCAAAGGUAAUCUUCAAAAUUGAAUUUAUUAAUUAUAUGACACCAAUAAAAGUUUAGAUUUAGAUAAAUUGUUAGUAUAUAAAAGUCCUUUUAUAUAUAUAGCUUAAAAAAUAUCUAUAUCAAUUUCGAACUAGUAUAGAUACAAAUGAUAUAGAAAAUUAAAUUUUUUUAUAAUGGUUAAAAUUAUAAUCAAUAUAAAAAGUCCACUUUAGAUAAUUUGUUAUUUUUUCUUUUUUCUCUUUUUCUCUUUUUUGUAUAUGUCAUGUUCUGCUUGCAUUAUGAAAUAUAUGUUUUUAUUGCCUCUUUCACAAUUUCACAUCUACUAUACUGCACCUUCACCAUUUUUCCUCAAUUUUUCAUCUUCUCCAACAUGCACUAGAAAACAUAAUGUUACAACACCUCGUUCAAAGUCAUUGAAUCACUACAUGAAAUUCUUUAAAUUCCUAGUCUUUUAAGGAGAGUGGAAAUGUGAUUAAUAAACUUUUUAUAAAGACAAGGUAUAUUUAGUGUUGGUUUUAAUAGUUGUAAAUUUUAAAUUCCUAAUAUUGGAUGCAAAUAAUGAUAUCUUAUCCUUUUACUUUUGUUGUGAGUUGUAAUUGUAAUGAUUAUAUUUAACACAAUGAACUUCUAUCUUUAUGUUAUUUAAAGAUUAAAUAUGUUUUUAAUUUUUAAAUUUAGACAUAAAAUUAAAAUUUGUUAAUUUCUUAAACUUUAAAAUUAAUUAAUAUAAUAUUUUUAAUUAAAUAUUUUUAAAUUUACUUUAAACAUAUUUUAAGUUAAUAUUUGAGUUGAAACGUACUAAAUAGUAUAUUAAAUAGUGUUAAAGCAAUUGGAUUAAUAAAAUCGUAUCUAUUCACUUUUAAAAUUUAAAGAUCAAAUUGUAUUAAAAUUUGAGAUAACAUGUCAAAGUUUAAUUAAAUACUUAAAAAAUACUUAAUCCUAUUAUUUAACUCUUUUCAAUUUAUAUGAGAUUAUAUUUAUAUGUUUUCUAAACUUAAGUUCCUGAGUUUCAUAUGUGCUUGUCUUUACAUGCGUGUGAAUUAAAUUUUAAAAACUUUCACAUCAAAAUUUUGAAAAAAGAAAUAAAAAAUUAAGUAAUUUACUUUUAAAUUAGCAUCAAUAAUAUAAUAGAAUAAUGUUAUUCCGAAGGUCAUAUCGUAAGAUCUCUCAUUUUAGACAUGCAUCUUAUAAUUUUUUUUAUUAGAAUAUAUUAUAUGACAUAAUAUUUAAGAUACAAAAUUUUAAAUAAUAAAUAUAGAAGAUUCAUUUUUUAAAAAGACAACUGUCCACCCAAUUCUAGUAGAAAAAAUAUUAUUAAAGUAAAUUAAUGUCGUAUUGAAACAAAAAUUACAUUAAAAUCUCAGAAACAAUAUAACAAAGUGAUAAAACAAAAAAGUUAAAACCUUAUAUUAUAAACAUUCCAAUGAAAAUAACCUAAAAUGUUUUAAAAAAAGUGAUACUCGUAUCCACAUUAAAUUCUAGUUAAUUAACCAUUUAAAAAUUCGGUUCUUUAGUAUAUAUAUUGGAUUUCUUUUUAUAUAGAAUAUAUCUUGUUCUUUUAAACGGUCCACGGUCAGCCCCAUAACUACCACUGCUUCUAUGUACCUACCAUGACAUAGAAUAGAGAAAAUGAAGUUACGAGGAAGCAAAGUAACACAGAAGACACUUAUAACUACAAGAAGCAUUAUUCUUGCACCGUUGGCGGUAGUAACAGAGCAGAGAAUAUGGGGAAGAAAAGUAUAAUUUUGUUCCCAAUUUAAGUCAUUGGUUAGCCAAUCACCAUUGUUAAGUGGAAAGGGAAAAUUUUCUAAGAAACUUCUCUGCCAUAUUAUCUCCAAUAACGAAAGAGCUACUUACUUUAGUUCCAAUGUUUGUGCCAAUUACGAACGAACUAGUUCAGAUGCAACAAAGUUCAAUACCACAACAGUCUAAACAUACCUUAGUUUUGUGACAAAGUUGAAUGCAACAGGAAUAGGAAACACACCUAAAUAUAACCUAUAAACAAUAGCAAACACAAAUACAAACACAAAUGACAAAGAUGACCGUAAAUAAUAUGGUUACAACACUGUAAUAGGACUAGUUACAUUGUGUUUGCCAUCUGUCCAAGUCAAAUUCCCAAAUAAAGGUAACCCUCUGGGCGUUGCAAUUGCCUGCAGAAUAACCCAAAACCUCUUCUUUUCUCCAGUUCUCUUAAAAGUCAAGGAGGUUGGUAGGACACGAACCUUUAUCCCCCUGGGCCCAUGAGCAUUCACAACAUACGUGCCUGGAGCUCCAACGUUUGUAACAAUGCGAGUAACAUUUAUAGGCUUUGAGGCAGGAUGAUGCACCGUAAUAGAAGGAUAAUUCAGAUCCUCGAUUCUGUAAGACUCGGGACAUUUGUAAGAGAUUUUAUAAUUGGAAAACAAUGUGAGUAGAGCUUGAUUGUAACCAGAAGCACAUAAGAAGUUCAAGUAAUCAGUUGUGUUUAGAUCAUAAACGAGUCCAGGGUCUAUUGCAAGGUUAGGCCGAACAAGUCCAGCUCCGUACUCGAAUGGAGUUGCUACCUUAUCAAAUGCAUCCCGGAUUGGUUUAUUCGUGUUAUCUAGAGU
rnacentral:lncRNA from 1 species